rnacentral:rRNA from 1 species
GAUGAACGCUGGCGGCGUGCCUUACAUGCAAGUCGAGCGAACAGACGAGGAGCUUGCUCCUCUGACGUUAGCGGCGGACGGGUGAGUAACACGUGGAUAACCUACCUAUAAGACUGGGAUAACUUCGGGAAACCGGAGCUAAUACCGGAUAAUAUAUUGAACCGCAUGGUUCAAUAGUGAAAGACGGUUUUGCUGUCACUUAUAGAUGGAUCCGCGCCGCAUUAGCUAGUUGGUAAGGUAACGGCUUACCAAGGCAACGAUGCGUAGCCGACCUGAGAGGGUGAUCGGCCACACUGGAACUGAGACACGGUCCAGACUCCUACGGGAGGCAGCAGUAGGGAAUCUUCCGCAAUGGGCGAAAGCUUGACGGAGCAACGCCGCGUGAGUGAUGAAGGUCUUCGGAUCGUAAAACUCUGUUAUUAGGGAAGAACAAAUGUGUAAGUAACUAUGCACGUCUUGACGGUACCUAAUCAGAAAGCCACGGCUAACUACGUG